AUUGAACGCUGGCGGCAUGCCUUACACAUGCAAGUCGAACGGUAACAGGUCUUCGGAUGCUGACGAGUGGCGAACGGGUGUGUAAUACAUCGGAACGUGCCUAGUAGUGGGGGAUAACUACUCGAAAGAGUGGCUAAUACCGCAUGAGAUCUACGGAUGAAAGCAGGGGAUCGCAAGACCUUGUGCUACUAGAGCGGACGAUGGCAGAUUAGGUAGUUGGUGGGAUAAAAGCUUACCAAGCCGACGAUCUGUGGCUGGUCUGAGAGGACGAUCAGCCACACUGGGACUGGGACACGGCCCAGACUCCUACGGGAGGCAGCAGUGGGGAAUUUUGGACAAUGGGCGCAAGCCUGAUCCAGCAAUGCCGCGUGCAGGAUGAAGGCCUUCGGGUUGUAAACUGCUUUUGUACGGAACGAAAAGCCCUGGGUUAAUACCCUGGGGUCAUGACGGUACCGUAAGAAUAAGCACCGGCUAACUACGUGCCAGCCGCCGCCGUAAAAC
rnacentral:rRNA from 1 species